GGCAAGAUAGCCAAGCGGUCAAAGGCGUGGGACUCAAGUUCUCAUCUUCGGUUCGUGGGUUCGAAUCCCACUCUUGUCA